rnacentral:lncRNA from 1 species
AUGGCCAAGUCCAAGAACCACACCACACACAACCAGUCCCGCAAAUGGCACAGAAAUGGCAUCAAGAAACCCUGGUCGCAAAGAUACCAAUCCCUUAAGGGGGUUGACCCCAAGUUCCUGAGGAGCAUGCGCUUUGCCAAGAAGCAUAAUAAGAAAGGCCUGAAGAAGACGCAGGCCAGCAAUGCAAAGGCAGUGAGUGUGCGCAGAGGCCAUUGAGGCCCUUGUGAAGCCUAAGGCCAUCAAGCCCAAGAUGCCAAAGGGCCCAGCCACAAGCUCAGCCGUCUGGCUUUCAUCGCUCACCCCAAGCUUGGGAAGCGGAUUCGAAGCUACAUGGCCAAGGGUCAGAGGCUCUGCCAACCAAAGCCCAGGGUUCAGACCAAGGCAGGGGCCAAAGCUCCAGCUAAGGCCCAGGCUUCAGUUCCAGCCCAGGCUCCCAAAGGUGCCCAGGCCCCUGUGAAGGCCCCACAGAAAAGGCUCCUGCCUGUGUGA